rnacentral:rRNA from 1 species
CCUACGGGUGGCUGCAGUGGGGAAUAUUGCACAAUGGGCGCAAGCCUGAUGCAGCCAUGCCGCGUGUGUGAAGAAGGCCUUCGGGUUGUAAAGCACUUUCAGCGGGGAGGAAGGCGGUGAGGUUAAUAACCUCAUCGAUUGACGUUACCCGCAGAAGAAGCACCGGCUAACUCCGUGCCAGCAGCCGCGGUAAUACGGAGGGUGCAAGCGUUAAACGGAAUUACUGGGCGUAAAGCGCACGCAGGCGGUCUGUCAAGUCGGAUGUGAAAUCCCCGGGCUCAACCUGGGAACUGCAUUCGAAACUGGCAGGCUAGAGUCUUGUAGAGGGGGGUAGAAUUCCAGGUGUAGCGGUGAAAUGCGUAGAUAUCUGGAGGAAUACCGGUGGCGAAGGCGGCCCCCUGGACAAAGACUGACGCUCAGGUGCGAAAGCGUGGGGAGCAAACAGGAUUAGAUACCCGUGUAGUC